ACGGAAGGCAGCAGUGGGGAAUAUUGCACAAUGGGCGCAAGCCUGAUGCAGCAACGCCGCGUGAGGGAAGACGGUCUUCGGAUUGUAAACCUUUGUCUUUGGUGAAGAAGCAAUGACGGUAGCCAAGGAGGAAGCCACGGCUAACUACGUGCCAGCAGCCGCGGUAAUACGUAGGUGGCAAGCGUUGUCCGGAAUUACUGGGUGUAAAGGGAGCGCAGGCGGGACAGCAAGUUGGAUGUGAAAUACCGGGGCUUAACCACGGAGCUGCAUCCAAAACUGUUGUUCUUGAGUGAAGUAGAGGUAGGCGGAAUUCCGAGUGUAGCGGUGAAAUGCGUAGAUAUUCGGAGGAACACCAGUGGCGAAGGCGGCCUACUGGGCUUUAACUGACGCUGAGGCUCGAAAGUGUGGGGAGCAAACAGGAUUAGAUACGCUGGUA
rnacentral:rRNA from 1 species